rnacentral:rRNA from 1 species
CCUCCAGAACGGUGGUUACCUCCACCCGCAGGUUGUGUGAAAAUCAAUGUUGAUGGAGCAGUCGCUAGAUCACACCAUGGAGGAGUUGUGGUGGCCCUGCGUAGAGACCAAUCAGGACUUUACUUGGGUUCUUCGGCUGUGGUCUUCCAAGGAAUUAAUGAUCCAUUGAUUCUGGAAACGUAUGCUUGUCGAGAAGCUCUAGCUCUUGCGGAGGAUCUCGCCGUGCAAAAUAUUUUGGUGGCCUCAGACUGUCAAGAAGCGGUGAACGACAUCAACAAAGGGACAGGGGUCCUAAUGCUGCCAUAG